GCAUUAUGGGGCAUACCUCAGCCUGGUGGACCGGCUGCCUUUGGGGAGGUCGUCACCCCUUGGACAUGAACACUCUUUUAUAACAUCAUUUCCUUCAGUUUACAUUCAGGAAUUAAUCGUUUUCCGCCCAUCGUGUUGUGCGCCAAGAUUUUGUCUCCUAGAGUUCUGAGCAGAAGUGGAGAGAGGACGCCAUGCACCACCGCUUGUGGGAUUAGGCUUGUUCCGGAGUGGUCAGGCCAUGAUCUGGUGUCCAGGUGGUGGAGGGCACAGCCCUCUCGGCUCUUGGAGUCCGACUCAUUCUGAGGGAUGUAUGGUUGAGCUCCAUGACCUCCGAGGCUCCUUGCCAUUCUGUGAUGCUGGGACUGGAAGUCAAGAGGAGUUCAGCACCUGCUUUCUGAGCCAUCAUGGCCAUCUGCCAUCUCAGACUUAAUCUUAUCCAUCUUGGAGUCCACCACUUUUCAGCUGUGUGGGGAUGUUGCCAGCCUCCAAAACCACUAAAACGAUGAAAGAUGAUAAAAUGGCAGUGAUGUCACAUGAUCUGACCUAACAUAGGCCAGCUCGGAGCCAUGCCAGGAGCUGGAGAUGCAAAAGGAUGAAACACAGCUUCUGACCUGGAAGGGCUCAGAGCCCAGGAAGGAGGACACAGAUAGUUGGAGCACAAGUGAUACAGCUUCUGUUACAGAUGUGUACAAAGGGAGGCGUGUGGUACACCCCCAAGAGGGAGGGACCAAAACAAAGGCUUCCUAGGGAAGCCUCCUGGACUUUAGUAUGUGGAAUAAGAGAUUUUUGGUGAAGUUCUCAAAACUGACCUGCCAUGUUAGGAAUGCAUAGUAUGGUAGCUUUAUACAGUGUCAAUUUAGCCUCAGGUCUAACUGCUGUAAUAAAUCCUUUAUUCUCUAUCA